rnacentral:rRNA from 1 species
GACGGAGGGUGCAAACGUUGUUCGGAAUCACUGGGCAUAAAGCGCACGUAGGCGGCGCGCUAAGUCGGGAGUGAAAGCCCUUGGCUCAACCGAGGAAUGUCUCCCGAUACUGGCGUGCUCGAGGACGGUUGGGGUGAGUGGAACUCCUGGUGGAGCGGUGAAAUGCGUAGAUAUCAGGAGGAACACCGGUGGCGAAAGCGGCUCACUGGGCCGUCUCUGACGCUGAGGUGCGAAAGCUAGGGUAGCGAACGGG